rnacentral:rRNA from 1 species
UACAGAGGGUGCGAGCGUUAAUCGGAAUUACUGGGCGUAAAGCGUGCGUAGGCGGUUUGUUAAGUCCGCUGUGAAAGCCCUGGGCUCAACCUGGGAAUUGCAGUGGAUACUGGCAAGCUAGAGUGCGGUAGAGGAUGGUGGAAUUCCCGGUGUAGCGGUGAAAUGCGUAGAGAUCGGGAGGAACACCGGUGGCGAAGGCGGCAUCCUGGACCAAUACUGACGCUGAGGAGCGAAAGCCAGGGGAGCAAACGGG